AAAAAGGUAAGCUAAUUUAAGCUAAUGGGUUCAUAUCCCAUUCAUGGAGGUUCUAAUCCGCCCCUUUUUA
rnacentral:tRNA from 1 species